rnacentral:rRNA from 1 species
UACGUAGGGUGCAAGCGUUAAUCGGAAUUACUGGGCGUAAAGCGUGCGCAGGCGGUUUUGUAAGUCAGAUGUGAAAUCCCCGGGCUUAACCUGGGAAUGGCGAUGGAGACUGCAAGGCUAGAGUUUGGCAGAGGGGGGUAGAAUUCCACGUGUAGCAGUGAAAUGCGUAGAGAUGUGGAGGAACACCGAUGGCGAAGGCAGCCCCCUGGGUCAAAACUGACGCUCAUGCACGAAAGCGUGGGGAGCAAACAGG